AUUGAACGCUGGCGGCAUGCCUUACACAUGCAAGUCGAACGGCAGCACGGGGCAACCUGGUGGCGAGUGGCGAACGGGUGAGUAAUGCAUCGGAACGUACCUUUCAGUGGGGGAUAACGUAGCGAAAGUUACGCUAAUACCGCAUAUUCUGUGAGCAGGAAAGCAGGGGAUCGCAAGACCUUGCGCUGAUUGAGCGGCCGAUGUCAGAUUAGCUAGUUGGUGAGGUAAAGGCUCACCAAGGCGACGAUCUGUAGCGGGUUUGGGAGGAUGUUCCGCCACACUGGAACUGAGACACGGUCCAGACUCCUACGGGAGGCAGCAGUGGGGAAUUUUGGACAAUGGGGGCAACCCUGAUCCAGCCAUGCCGCGUGAGUGAAGAAGGCCUUCGGGUUGUAAAGCUCUUUCGGCCGGGAAGAAAUCGCACGGGCUAAUACCCUGUGUGGAUGACGGUACCGGAAUAAGAAGCACCGGCUAACUACGUGCCAGCAGCCGCGGUAAGAC
rnacentral:rRNA from 1 species